rnacentral:sRNA from 2 species
UGCAUCUGUAGCCUGUGAGGAUGAGAACCUCCGGGGGCAGGAGGUUCGACUCGAGCGGAGCGAGAGAACGUUGCGUCAGCAACGGCCCGCAGGGCGAGCCACUAAAGUGGCGAGUCAUCCUCUAUCACCGACCA